rnacentral:rRNA from 1 species
UACGGAGGAUGAAAGCGUUAUCCGGAAUUAUUGGGCGUAAAGCGUCUGCAGGUGGCUAGUCAAGUCUGCUGUCAAAGACUGGAGCUCAACUCCGGGCAGGCGGUGGAAACUGUCGAGCUAGAGUACGGUAGGGGUAGAGGGAAUUCCCAGGGGAGCGGUGAAAUGCGUAGUGAUUGGGAAGCACACCAGGGGCGAAGGCGCUCUACUGGGCCGUAACUGACGCUCAGUGACGAAAGCUACGGGUGCGAAAGGG